rnacentral:rRNA from 1 species
UACGGAGGGGGCAAGCGUUGUUCGGAAUUAUUGGGCGUAAAGGGCAUGUAGGCGGUUUGGUAAGUUAAAGGUGAAAUACCAGGGCUUAACCCUGGGGCUGCUUUUAAUACUGCAGGACUAGAGUCCGGAAGAGGAUAGCGGAAUUCCUAGUGUAGAGGUGAAAUUCGUAGAUAUUAGGAGGAACACCAGUGGCGAAGGCGGCUGUCUGGUCCGGUACUGACGCUGAGGUGCGAAAGCG